rnacentral:rRNA from 1 species
GUAGCUUGCUACUUUGCCGGCGAGCGGCGGACGGGUGAGUAAUGUCUGGGAAACUGCCUGAUGGAGGGGGAUAACUACUGGAAACGGUAGCUAAUACCGCAUGACCUCGAAAGAGCAAAGUGGGGGAUCUUCGGACCUCACGCCAUCGGAUGUGCCCAGAUGGGAUUAGCUAGUAGGUGAGGUAAUGGCUCACCUAGGCGACGAUCCCUAGCUGGUCUGAGAGGAUGACCAGCCACACUGGAACUGAGACACGGUCCAGACUCCUACGGGAGGCAGCAGUGGGGAAUAUUGCACAAUGGGCGCAAGCCUGAUGCAGCCAUGCCGCGUGUGUGAAGAAGGCCUUAGGGUUGUAAAGCACUUUCAGCGAGGAGGAAGGCAUCACACUUAAUACGUGUGGUGAUUGACGUUACUCGCAGAAGAAGCACCGGCUAACUCCGUGCCAGCAGCCGCGGUAAUACGGAGGGUGCAAGCGUUAAUCGGAAUUACUGGGCGUAAAGCGCACGCAGGCGGUUUGUUAAGUCAGAUGUGAAAUCCCCGCGCUUAACGUGGGAACUGCAUUUGAAACUGGCAAGCUAGAGUCUUGUAGAGGGGGGUAGAAUUCCAGGUGUAGCGGUGAAAUGCGUAGAGAUCUGGAGGAAUACCGGUGGC